AUGAGGAUGAGAACCUCCGGGGGCUGGGAGGUUCGACUCGAGCGAAGCGAGAGAACGUUGCGCCAGCAACGGCCCGCAGGGCGAGCCACGAAGUGGCGAGUAAUCCUCUAUCACCGACCA
rnacentral:sRNA from 1 species